rnacentral:rRNA from 1 species
GAUGAACGCUGGCGGCGUGCCUAAUACAUGCAAGUCGAGCGAACGGACGAGAAGCUUGCUUUUCUGAUGUUAGCGGCGGACGGGUGAGUAACACGUGGAUAACCUACCUAUAAGACUGGGAUAACUUCGGGAAACCGGAGCUUAUACCGGAUAAUAUUUUGAACCGCAUUGUUCAAAAGUGAAAGACGGUCUUGCUGUCACUUAUAGAUGGAUCCGCGCUGCAUUAGCUAGUUGGUAAGGUAACGGCUUACCAAGGCAACGAUGCAUAGCCGACCUGAGAGGGUGAGCGGCCACACUGGAACUGAGACACGGUCCAGACUCCUACGGGAGGCAGCAGUAGGGAAUCUUCCGCAAUGGGCGAAAGCCUGACGGAGCAACGCCGCGUGAGUGAUGAAGGUCUUCGGAUCGUAAAACUCUGUUAUUAGGGAAGAACAUAUGUGUAAGUAACUGUGCACAUCUUGACGGUACCUAAUCAGAAAGCCACGGCUAACUACGUG